rnacentral:rRNA from 1 species
UGGGGAAUAUUGCACAAUGGGCGCAAGCCUGAUGCAGCCAUGCCGCGUGUGUGAAGAAGGCCUUCGGGUUGUAAAGCACUUUCAGCGGGGAGGAAGGCGGUAAGGUUAAUAACCUUAUCAAUUGACGUUACCGACAGAAGAAGCACCGGCUAACUCCGUGCCAGCAGCCGCGGUAAUACGGAGGGUGCAAGCGUUAAUCGGAAUUACUGGGCGUAAAGCGCACGCAGGCGGUUGAUUGAGUCAGAUGUGAAAUCCCCGGGCUUAACCCGGGAAUUGCAUCUGAUACUGGUCAGCUAGAGUCUUGUAGAGGGGGGUAGAAUUCCAUGUGUAGCGGUGAAAUGCGUAGAGAUGUGGAGGAAUACCGGUGGCGAAGGCGGCCCCCUGGACAAAGACUGACGCUCAGGUGCGAAAGCGUGGGGAGCAAACAGG